GAGGCUCUGAGGGAGCUGAGUAUCUGUUAACCAGCCCGGAAGUGACGUAGACGCCGCCAUUUUGUGCCUUGCAGGCAUUCGGACUUCAUCUCCCAGGAUCCUCCCUCAUUGAAUGAAGUAGCCGAGGCUUCUGGGAGUUGAAGUCCAGAGGCUCUGAGGGAGCUGGGUAUCUGUGUUAACCAGCCCGGAAGUGACGUAGACGCCGCCAUUUUGUGCCUUGCAGGCAUUCGGACUUCAUCUCCCAGGAUCCUCUCUCAUUGAAUGAAGUAGCCGAGGCUUCUGGGAGUUGAAGUCCAAAGGGUUUGAAGAGGCUGGGUGUCCGUGUGAGGUGAGCGGCGGUCGCCAUGGCGGUGCUGGCUUCGAAUCCCAACAACCCGGUGGUCUUCUUCGACGUGACGAUAGGCGGGCAGGAGGUAGGCCGCAUGAAGGUGGAGCUCUUCGCCGACGUAGUGCCCAAGACCGCGGAGAACUUCCGGCAGUUUUGCACCGGAGAGUUUAGGAAAGACGGCGUUCCGAUCGGCUACAAAGGCAGCACAUUCCACAGGGUGAUCAAGGAUUUCAUGAUCCAAGGCGGCGAUUUUGUCAAUGGCGACGGCACCGGCGUGGCCAGCAUCUACCGGGGCCCUUUUGCGGACGAAAACUUCAAGCUGAAACAUUCAGCGCCCGGGCUGCUGUCGAUGGGACCCAACCCUCUGCUUCCUCCUGGCAGGCCAACAGCGGUCCCAGCACCAACGGGUGCCAGUUCUUCAUCACUUGCUCCAAGUGCGACUGGCUGGACGGGAAGCACGUCGUCUUUGGAAAAGUCGUCGAUGGGCUGCUCGUCAUGAGGAAGAUUGAGAACGUCCCCACCGGCCCCAACAACAAGCCCAAGCUCCCCGUGGUCAUCGCUCAGUGCGGAGAGAUGUAGUCUCCGGUCUGGGCUUCUUCUUCUUCGCCUCGGACCAUCAUCAUCCUCAUCAUCAUCCUCCCAGCAUCCUCCUUUUGUAUUUGUAAAUAAAAGGGAUUCUCAUUGUCAUAA